UGGGCCCCAAUUCACAUACAACAUAACAAAUAAAGCCGGUUGCUUUUAAACUUCUUAAAUUAAUAUUAGUAAAUCAUACACAAAAACGAUAAGUCUUAUAAGAGCGACAUGAUAAUAUACUCAGUCAUCUGCUUCUUACAUAACAUACAUAUGUGUUAAAAUUAUGUGUUAAAGCAUGCCAAAAAAAUAUUAACAUGAAAACCUUCGAUGACUCAAAAAAGAAAAAAGAAAGCAGAGGGAGAGCCUUAAAUAUCCUAACGGCGCCAGCAACUAACCGCAUAGACAAUUAGGGCAGAACCAUCGCGUCUCGUCGUGGAUGAAUCACAUUGGCGGAGAAGCUUUUUUACGGCUGUCAUCAAUCUACCGAUGCCGUUCUCAAGUGAGCUCUAGUUAUUAGCCUUGUAACUCGGGGAACGCUCUCAUUUCUGAUCUACAACAUCAAGUUCCACUUAGUGCGAUGCUGAAGCAAUCCUACGUUCUCUCCUGGUGAUCAAGACAAUUACGAUUUAAAACGGUGAGGUGUUGAGCAGUGCAAUGUAGGAUUAUCUGAAAGAGUCCAGAAGCAAGUUAGUGACAUCCAGAAGGAAAUGAUUCUUGGACGUUUUGACCGCCGCCCCAAACAAUCAACCGCAGUGAGGAGAACGUAUGGGAAUGAAUUGUAUAUCUGCUUAGGGCGUAUACGAGUGCAAAUGAUCUUGAAAACGCUGCCAUAGGCAAAUGUGGCGGUCCACUGCGAAGGCGGCUUUUAAAAUAGAAAGGAAAUGUGAAUUGCGGCUUAGUUCUGAUACAAAUAAAUAAAAUUGCUCUCAAUACCAGAACCGAUGACGAAUGACAGCAAGCGUGGUCAUUCAGGUUUCAUAAAUGUAAAUUCAUAAUUAAUGAACGGGAUGUGUUAUGUUGCCGCAGCAAAAUUAUAAGAUGACAUCAAGCUUUGAAUUUCCAAGUCUUUCUCCUACUCGCAACAUUAUAAACAAAUCAAUAAACAGCGUAGGCGAUAUUAAAGAUCUUAAUGUAGAAAUAAAUAAGCAGAAUGAAAAAAGAAUCGGAUAGCCGAUUUUAGAGAAAAUCCAGAAUCCGUUGAGCGUUGCAUGAACCAAUCGAAGUAUUCGGAAAUGCACUCCAAUUUACCAAAUGACGUCAGAAAAUUUGCUGCCAAACGACAGAUUGGCAAGACAACUAAUAGUUUUUCGCCGCUCAGCGAGGCACCUGGGCAACACAAUAUAGUCUACUUAGCCCUAGAGGAAUACAUGGAUCAUGCCACAAUUGUAUCUCAAUAAUAUCACUAGGUUGCUGGGUUAAUAGCCGUUAAAAUGCAUUAAUACUUGUUUCAUAUAAACUGUGUAUUUCACGGUCAGAAUAAGGAUGUGCUUCAUGACGAGGGAAGCGAAGGCAUGUAGUGUCGUCGCAAAGCAAGUUUUUCUUUAUACGAUUGCUGAAGAUUAUUGCUUUUAUGACACCAGGUCAAAUUUAUUUCAAAUGGAUAUUAAAAUCUGGGGAUAGUGGCGAGAAUAGAGGGCCAUUAGAUCAAAUAGGCAUAAGAUGGAAAAAAUCAUAAAAUACACCAUCCAAAAAUCUGAAUAUCAGGGGAGCCACAGAAAACACUUCCACUCGAAUUUCUCUUCAAUUUCACUUGUAGGUGCCACAGACCCCAUUUCAUGAGGAUUAUACUGCCAGUGCUUAUGCUAAGAACAACAAUGAAACUUCUCUUUUAAAUAAGAAUUUGUGAAUAAUAAUUUGUUAAAAUUACCAUUUUUUUUUAAAAUACUAAUCAAAUUUUAUAAAUCGGCAAAACGCUUCAGUGAUGCUGAUGAUUUUUAUACCCGCUACCCAUAGGGUAGACGGGUAUUAUAACUUUGUGCCGGCAGGAAAUGUAUGUAACAGGUAGAAGGGGGCAUCUCCGACCCUAUAAAGUAUAUAUAUUCUUGAUCAGGGUCAACAGCCGAGUCGAUCUAGCCAUGCCCGUCUGUCUGUCUGUCCGUAUGAACACCUAGAUCUCAGAGGCUAUAAGAGAUAGAGCUAUAUUCUUUGCAUUUGUUAUAUUUCCACGCAGAUCAAGUUUGUUUCAAAUUUUUGCCACGCACACUUCCGCCCUCGCAAAUCAAGAAAAAGCGUAACUUUAAAGCUAGAGUCGAAUUUUUGUAUAUAUAUAAUAAUUAUAGUAGUUAUGAUUCCUGAAAAUUUGGUUGCGAUCAGAUAAAAAUGGUGGAAGUUAUUAAAGAAAUACUUUUGUAUGAGUAAAAACACCUACUUACUAGGGGUCUUAGUUGCUUUGGCUGACAAUCUGGUAUAUUGUGCCAUCUAUGGUAUAUUUUGAAUGUGGUACUACAUCGAUACUAUAGUUUUAGUAUUUUUGUAGUAUUUUGGUAUAUUUUGAGAAUACCGCAAUAUUUUGCUUUUAUUAACAUGUUUGUAUCCGAAUUCGUAUCACAAGUGUUUUAAAAAAUGUAUUAAACGUAGUUAAAAUUUAUUAAAAACAGGUAAAGAAAAAUGUAUAUUUUUUAGAAUGAAUCGACAUUUUCUAUUUAUUUCUGUAGUUAUUGUGCAAUUUGCAAAAACAUUUGCAGCAUGUGUUGUUUAGAUUAUGAUAUUGUAUUGCAACAUUGUAAACAAAACAAUUGAAGAAGAAGAAGAGUACUACCAACAUUUAAACCAAUA